UACGUAGGGGGCAAGCGUUGUCCGGAUUUAUUGGGCGUAAAGAGCGUGUAGGCGGUUAGGUAGGUCCGUUGUGAAAACUCGAGGCUCAACCUCGAGACGCCGAUGGAAACCAUCUAACUAGAGUCCGGAAGAGGAGAGUGGAAUUCCUGGUGUAGCGGUGAAAUGCGCAGAUAUCAGGAAGAUCACCCGUGGCUAAGGCGGCUCUCUAGUACGGUACUGACGCUGAGACGCGAAAGCGUGGGGAGCGAACAGG
rnacentral:rRNA from 1 species